rnacentral:rRNA from 1 species
AAAGCGCGCGUAGGUGGUUCGUUAAGUUGGAUGUGAAAUCCCCGGGCUCAACCUGGGAACUGCAUUCAAAACUGUCGAGCUAGAGUAUGGUAGAGGGUGGUGGAAUUUCCUGUGUAGCGGUGAAAUGCGUAGAUAUAGGAAGGAACACCAGUGGCGAAGGCGACCACCUGGACUGAUACUGACACUGAGGUGCGAAAGCGUGGGGAGCAAACAGGAUUAGAUACCCGAGU